AGAGUUUGAUCCUGGCUCAGAUUGAACGCUGGCGGCAUGCUUUACACAUGCAAGUCGAACGGCAGCGCGGGGCAACCUGGCGGCGAGUGGCGAACGGGUGAGUAAUAUAUCGGAACGUACCCAAGAGUGGGGGAUAACGUAGCGAAAGUUACGCUAAUACCGCAUACGAUCUAUGGAUGAAAGUGGGGGAUCGCAAGACCUCAUGCUCCUGGAGCGGCCGAUAUCUGAUUAGCUAGUUGGUGAGGUAAUGGCUCACCAAGGCGACGAUCAGUAGCUGGUCUGAGAGGACGACCAGCCACACUGGAACUGAGACACGGUCCAGACUCCUACGGGAGGCAGCAGUGGGGAAUUUUGGGCAAUGGGCGCAAGCCUGAUCCAGCAAUGCCGCGUGAGUGAAGAAGGCCUUCGGGUUGUAAAGCUCUUUUGUCAGGGAAGAAACGGCUGGGGCUAAUAUCCUCGGCUAAUGACGGUACCUGAAGAAUAAGCACCGGCUAACUACGUGCCAGCAGCCGCGGUAAUACGUAGGGUGCAAGCGUUAAUCGGAAUUACUGGGCGUAAAGCGUGCGCAGGCGGUUUUGUAAGUCUGACGUGAAAGCCCCGGGCUCAACCUGGGAAUUGCGUUGGAGACUGCAAGGCUUGAAUCUGGCAGAGGGGGGUAGAAUCCCACGUGUAGCAGUGAAAUGCGUAGAGAUGUGGAGGAACACCGAUGGCGAAGGCAGCCCCCUGGGUCAAGAUUGACGCUCAUGCACGAAAGCGUGGGGAGCAAACAGGAUUAGAUACCCUGGUAGUCCACGCCCUAAACGAUGUCUACUAGUUGUCGGGUCUUAAUUGACUUGGUAACGCAGCUAACGCGUGAAGUAGACCGCCUGGGGAGUACGGUCGCAAGAUUAAAACUCAAAGGAAUUGACGGGGACCCGCACAAGCGGUGGAUGAUGUGGAUUAAUUCGAUGCAACGCGAAAAACCUUACCUACCCUUGACAUGUCAGGAACCUCCGAGAGAUUGGAGGGUGCCCGAAAGGA
rnacentral:rRNA from 1 species